rnacentral:misc_RNA from 1 species
GCUGUUGUAUGGCGGCUCUCGCACGAACGGACGAUAGGGUUGUUGAAUAGCGUCAUCGUGAUCGCGGUACCUCGUCGAGAGCGCGAUAUUUAUGUGUCACCGAGGUCGCCGGCGGAUACCAAACGUUUAAUCACAUCUAUUGAAGUAGCACAGCAAAGUCAAGCAUGAGGCGCAAGAGCGAAAGGAACAAAGCUAAAGGAUCUCCUGAGAAAAAAGUUGAGAAACCGACAAGGAAAUCGACACGUAGGCGUGGCAGAAGAUCGCCUUCUACUUCAUCUGAACAAGAUACUUUCGUCGAGGAUGCUAAGAGUGCCAUUCAAGUCAAAGAGAUCGAACAAAAAGAGACAAGCAUGCAGACGCGCCUGCAGAGCAAAGAAUUGGAGCAGACAUCACAAGGACGUGAGGAGAAAAUAUACCCUAGUGAGAUAGACAUAAAAGUGGAUUCACCGGAAGACGAGGAGGACAACGGCGGCUCCGUGUGGAAAGUGGCGAGGGCGGAUGCGUCGCCCGGCGAAAUACAGAAGCUGAAACUAUGUAGGCAGCGCAACACGUCAGAAGCAUCAUCAGACACAGCACCGUCGAGUAGGAAAACUGUCAAGUCAAGUGGCAAGUGGCAAGAAAGUGGUGAGGGCAUUGCAGAGGAGGCUGACUCGGCAGAUGAGCAACUGGUUUCUUGUACAAGAACGCUCAGUAGCGCUGAACAGCCGAACGAUCCCUCCUCUUCAUACCCAGGUCAGGACUCCAACGAAGAGGUAAGUGAUAGCAAGGAGAUCCUGCCUGAAACCACUUCAGCCAACUUGUUGUCUGACGAUAAACCAAACAUAGAUCAGCAUGGUGAAUCAAAUGAGGCAAAUUGCGCUGCCCAAAUCGUUGAUAGCGAACCUGGUAAGCCGGGUAGCACGACAGCCGCAUCAUCUCCUAGCCCAAAUGGUGAUGAUACUUGCGAGAAGACUGCCACCGCUGUCACGGAAGUUAAGGAAGAAAAAUCUGCAGAAGACAUCAUCGAAAAGCCAACGGAAACGGAAUUUAGCAAAGAGACUAGUGUAGAAAACGUAGCUAAUAGAGAUACGAGUAGCGAGGAUGAGGACGAUAAAGUGAAAACGCAUCGUCCGGCGGAUUCGUCAUCCGAAUCGAAUGACGAGUCUCGUCUUAAAAGUAGCAGAGCAAGUAGCGACCAAGCGUCGCCACGCACGAUUCGUAGGAAACCUCGUAGUAAAUACAGAGACUCGUCUAAUUCAGAGACACCAGAUUCCGAGGAUGAACCUAUUGAAAGAAAAGUAGUCUCUGAGCCUUACGCCGAAGAGGAGGAAGAGGAGAAACAAAGUACGGAAUGUUCGCAAGAGAAUAAGGAACAAUCGGCGUCACCGGAAAGAACCAACUCUCACUCGAACAAUGUAGAAAAAGUGGAGAUCGAGCAAUGCGAAACUGUUCCGGAUAAAUCGGAGGAAAGUACGAAUGAAAAGUCGGAACAGAUUGCACCGGUCAGCACCCAGACGGUCGUUCACAAACCUGUUAAAGUCAAUUUGAAGAGAUCAUUCUCGGCAAGAAUAUUAUCUGAAAAAAAUGAAGUGAAAAGAGACGAUGCCGAUGCAAGUGUUGAUAAUGAAUCUAGUAAUCAAAAUAAGGAAAAUGGCAGUGAACAAGAACCAAAAUGUGUGCCAAGGAAACGUCGAUGGGGAACGGCACUUUCUACAGAUACAACGCCUUCAUUCUCUAUCUCAACUGAUUCACUCAAGGCCUUGGUACCAGGUGCAAAGCCAUUAUCUAUCAAUGAAGUUCGUCUUUCGAAAGACGACGACGAGGAUAGAGAUCGUCAUAGGAGUAACGACAAGCGGCACAAUUCCAACGAUAGUACAAACGAUAGUAAGGUGACGGAGGAAAACUUGCAGAAGAAUGGUGCUGCUAAAAAGGGAAAUGCAAAAGUGGAUAAUCACCUCGCAACGAGGCGAAAGAUAUCGAUCGUGAAGGAAGUAGCACAUGUAAAAUCGCCGAGUCCACCAGCGUCUAAACCUACUAAUAUCCUCUUAAUCAAGAAUCUGGUUCGCCCCUUCACGCUAAAUCAGAUUAAAGAGCUUCUUUCGCGUACCGGCACCAUCGUGGAAAACGGAUUCUGGAUGGAUCGAAUUAAGUCCAAAUGCAUCGUCGAGUAUUCCAACGAGGACCAGGCCUUCGAGACGAGACAAGCGCUUCACGGGAUCUCCUGGCCGAUGUCAAAUCCGAAGAAGCUUCACGUAGAGUACGCCACAAGCGAGGAUAUGGAAACUGCUCGGGAAUCAUCCAAGGAACAACCGAUUGCUCGCAAAGCUGAGCUACUAUCAUCGUCGGAUGCAUGGCAGCAGGAUUGGGUUCGCGAUGAAAAGACUAAUACAACCAAAGUAACCGUGGUGAGAGAGUGGGACUUGGGCAAGGAGGACGGUCCGCAGCACAUCAGGGAGAAAGAGCGCGACAAGAAGGAGCAGGACAAGAAGCGACGAGCGAGGAGUCGGAGCCCAACGUUGGACGCGCACCUAUCGGCACCAGCUCGUAAGUUCAAGAAGAAGGAGGACGAUCCGCCGCCGGCUAAGCUCCUGGACGAUCUCUUCAGAAAGACGAAGGCAACACCUUGCAUAUACUGGUUGCCACUUACAAAUGAGCAGAUAGUAGUAAAGGAAGAGAUGCGGCGACAACACAUGGCGGAACAUGCGCGUAGGUUAGAAGAGAUGAGACGUGCCGACCGAAAUAGGGACGGCCGACGUCGGCGCAGUCCAAGAAAAUAGAGAGCAACGUAUUUUCUGCAAAUGUAUCUUUCCUUCUCUGACCUGACCCUAACCUUGAAUUUGGCUUUAGUCAACUCACUUCGUCCUAUCAGUUCUGCAUCCUACUUUUUUCCCACUACAUAUUUAUUGCGGAUACGUUGUUUUGCUUUCUUUUUUUGUAUCUGAAUUGGUCGACAACAUCCAAUAGAGAGCCAAUAACUGUAGAUCUGGCGCAUAGUGGUACUGUGUUUACCUCGACUCACGGCAGAUGAUACCAAUUCGCAUUCUCUACGCCAUAAUGAAACAACAUGUGACAAUGAGAGACAAAAAGCGUGCUCGCAGCAUCCGCACGAAACUUUUACGACGUGGGAAACUCCUCUUUGAAGAAAAUAGACAAGACACAUUGUUGGAUGUGGAAUAAUCAGGCACUCAUGACUCGAGUAAUGUUCGUUCUUUUGCUUUUUUUUUGGUUUUCUUUUUAUUAACUCGACUCUGACAAGUCUGCACGAAUGGAUCUGGAUGUUAUCAAAUUACGACGUUAUCUGAGUGGAAAAUACUAUUGUCCGAAAUAUAGAAGAGUAUCAUCGUGAAAACAUUGUAUUGAACGUUGAUAGACAAAAAAAAUGGAACUUUAUUUCUGCGUUAAGUAUUCUUCGUAGUGUACUUUGACUUCCUUGAGCACGACGCUCCUAAUCUUUGGAAGCAUUGCGUUAAUUUUUGUGACCCGUGCGAUAGCGCAGGGCGAAGACACGUAUGUAAAUAACCGAUAUUCCAUGGUGUGUCAUGUAAAAUUAUUAAUAAAUAUAAAACAAAAAAAAGAACACGAUGUUAAGACAUACAAAGUACAUUUACCGCUUACUUUUUACGAUACAUCGAUUGGAGAAUUUGUUAUUCACUUGUAGCCGAAAGAUCGAGAGCAUGUGAUAAACAAAUACAUUUAUGCUUAAAA